rfam:Turicella otitidis ATCC 51513 genomic scaffold supercont1.2, whole genome shotgun sequence.
ACUCGGGCACGAUCCCGCCCGGGGCGCGCACAGUUAACUACGGUGCGGGGCCUCGUAGGGCGGGAACCGACCCGCAGUAGUACCUGAGGGA